rnacentral:lncRNA from 1 species
AAAACAUAAAUUAUGUCAAUAGCAAACGACAUGAUUUUUGUGAUUUUUCGAUGAUGGAGUAAAUGCAUCUGUUUCAUUAAUUUAAUGGUCUCUCUUAGAUUUGAACCCUAACAUUAGAAAAUCGAGUGUAAUUUCACUCAGUGUUAUGCUUUUCCCACCCUAACAUGAAUUAAGUUAGUCGUUACAUGCAGAUUUAAAUAAUUUAUUAUGAAAAUAUUAUACGCCAAACAAUUAUUCAUUGAAAACCGACAAGUGUGUUUUAUUACAAGGUAAUUCAUUCUUUCUCAGAGGAUAUAAUUUACAUCGUACUUUUUUUUCUCAUGGUCGUAAUGUUUACGAGUCCUUGCUUUUUACAAGUAUUAAUUAGUUAUAUUAAUAAGUUUUAAUCCUUAAUGGACGUAAAAUAUGUCCUAUUUUUUGAAAACAACAAAGGCAAUUUUUGUAUGUCCGUCCACAGCAAUAUAUGGUGCACUGGUCUAGGUGAAUGUCAUUCAUUCACUGAGCAGUCGUCUGACUUAUCAAGAUUCUAAGUAAUCUGCCACUUUACAUUCAAUUUGACAUCGACUGACUUGACGGCAUGACUUGUGCGGUUGUAAUUGGUUAAUUUAAGGCAUCUGGAAAGAGUUUCAUAACAUCCGGUAGUCAAUUAAAACGUGUGUAAGGCUGAUAACAUAAGUGUUUCUUCUUGUUGGGAUUCUUUUGGGAAUGUAUUGGGACAGAGAUUUAGUGAAUUGUAUUCUUUUUUUCUUAAUUCCUGUGCUGUUUAUGAUGAAGAAGUAAUUUUAUAAAAAAUCAAAUCAGGUAGUGAAUAAGCCUCGCUAAAUUUGAAAAAUUAUUUCCGGGUGUUAGAACUCAUGAGAGAGUCCUAUUGAUGUCAACACCAUGGUAACUUGAGCUUAUCAAUUUCAAACAGGUUACGUUCCAUCAUGGCUUCUCAUUGAAACCGGCUGAAAAACUGACUCCAAGCCAGGUCAUGCUUCCUCCAAUUCAAGUAUCUUAUCCGGCGCAUGAAAAAGGCUACUACUUUCUCGCUUUAAUUGAUCCGGACUCACCAAAUCGGACAAAACCAGUGGACCGCGAAUUUUUGCAUUAUUUGGUUGGCAACAUUCCCGGGUUGCUGUAUCUCGAGGAGCGGAAAUCAUUCCGUAUUACGCUCCUCUGCCAGAAAAAGACACAGGCGUUCACAGGUACGUGUUUACUGUCUUCCAGCAACCAAAAGGUGUCAUAAAUUUUGAGGGCGAGCUAUUGCAUUCCAAAAAACCUAACAACGAAGGAAGGAAAAAAUUCAAUAUCUCAAAUUUUGCCCAAAAAUAUGAUCUGGGGGCACCACUCGCCGUCACGUUUUUCCAGAUGAAAUGGGAUGAGCACUAUGUAACUUCUACCAUGAGUUCAGGAUGAUGACAUUUUAAAUGCAAAAUUUUUGUUCGGAACAGUGUCAUGAAUAUUUUUCAGCGCGUCGCACGGAGCCAACGAGACAACUUGGACCUGAAUUCGGUCAAUCAUGUAGUAAUGAACUGUUAUAAGCAAAUGUACAUAUACAAUGUAGAUAUUAUUUUGACAUGAGUAUAAAAUCAAUUCAUUUUCCGUUUUUCAUGCUGUUAAAAUUGUAUCAGGUCAAAUUUCCUACAUUUUCUCUUAAUUUGAUACUUGAACUGAGCAAAGUAUAAUGCCAACACUUUUUAAAGUAAAUAAUUUAUUGAAAUUCAUACGUCACCCGUUCAGUUACAUUUUGCAAUUAGAGACCACUAGCAUUUUCUGUUGUUGUGAAAUAAUAAUUGCCUAUCAACUUCAUUGAUUGGUUAAAUGCUGUAGACGGGGUUGGAUAAUAGCCCAGUAGCUAUGUCACCGAGCAGUGAUAUGAAAAACUACACUAAAACACAAAAAAAUGUAAAUAAAUUAAGGUAUCGAAGGGUAUAUUGAUAGAUGCCAUGGAGCAAGGAUUUUGGCGUGGAGGGAUUGUUAUCGUCGAAGAGAACUGUUUAAGUCAUGUCAGCUAAGUUUGUGAGUAGGGUAUGAAGGGUCAUUGUCAUGAGCGUAAAAAAUGUCAACUAUGGGUUCAUUUAGGUCUAGCUGUGUGUAAAUUUUUCAUUGA